rnacentral:rRNA from 1 species
CCUACGGGUGGCUGCAGUAAGGAAUAUUGGACAAUGGACGGAAGUCUGAUCCAGCCAUGCCGCGUGAAGGAAGACUGCGCUCAGCGUUGUAAACUUCUUUUGGAUGGGAAUAAUAAUGUCGACGAGAUCGGCACUUGAAGGUACCAUCAGAAUAAGCACCGGCUAACUCCGUGCCAGCAGCCGCGGUAAUACGGAGGGUGCAAGCGUUAUCCGGAAUCACUGGGUUUAAAGGGUGCGUAGGCGGUUAAAUAAGUCAGUUGUGAAAUUCUCCGGCU